AUACGAAGGGUGCAAGCGUUACUCGGAAUUACUGGGCGUAAAGCGUGCGUAGGUGGUUGUUUAAGUCUGUCGUGAAAGCCCUGGGCUCAACCUGGGAAUGGCGAUGGAAACUGGGCGACUAGAGUGUGGCAGAGGGUAGUGGAAUUCCUGGUGUAGCAGUGAAAUGCGUAGAGAUCAGGAGGAACAUCCGUGGCGAAGGCAACUGCCUGGGCCAACACUGACACUGAGGCACGAAAGCGUGGGGAGCAAACAGGAUUAGAUACCCUGGUAGUCCACGCCCUAAACGAUGCGAACUGGAUGUUGGGUGCAAUUUGGCACGCAGUAUCGAAGCUAACGCGUUAAGUUCGCCGCCUGGGGAGUACGGUCGCAAGAAUGAAACUCAAAGGAAUUGACGGGG
rnacentral:rRNA from 1 species